CCUCGUUGGUAUUAAUUUGUUGCGCCGAUGAGCGGUGGCCGAGAAGGUCAGCUGGUGGUUGUUUACUGGAGCGAAGGAGCGACGAGAAAUCAAGGAGAGAGAGAGAGAGAUCGCUUCUUCGAUCCAAGUCCACGCAACCGGGGAUUGUUUGUGGCAGAGGAGGACUGCUCCCCGGAUCUUGAACAGUUCCCUCCACCGUCGCAAAACCCUAGAUGGUCUCCUCUUUGUUCUUGAUUGGAAAGAUAGUGGACAAUUUGGCUGUUUGAUCCGACGCCGUUGCUUCUCUUUUUCUGGAUUGAGUUUAGGCUGAAAAAAUUGGUGUGGAUAUAUGUGGAUUGAGGAAUUAGGAGAUGAGGACUGCGUCGGAGGAUGAGAGGGGGAAAGGUUGGUUUGGAGGAUUCGUGGCCCAAGGACUGGGUUUGUGGAUGCGAAGAGGGGGGCUGUGGGAGUCGAGGCUCGGAUUCUCUUCUACACGACGCUGAUGUAUAAUGUUGUACGCAAAAGAAAGGAACUCGAGGACUCGGGAGCGAAUGUCCAACAGAAGGUUCCUUAUCUCCCAUGGGAAGUCUUGUCAUUUGUGAUGCAUUCUUUCAAUAUCAAGGAGUCAGUCUCCAAUACUAUCGAUGUGAAGCCCUCCUGCCAAGCAUGGAAGAGGCCUUAUUUGAUUGGCAACACUUCACAUUGGAGAGCAGAUGGGUUCAAGAGCCCUUUAUAGCCAGCAAAUCUACAAGAGCCCUGUACUUCAGGCUCAUGGGAUAGAACAUUUGCUGAUGCCAACAAGAGAUUACCUUUUUGCUUCAUCACUUGGAGAUAUAUGCCAAGCUGUGGACUUCAUCCAUUGCCGUCCAAGACUUCUACCAUCUCAGGGUGCUAAAAAAAGGAAGGUUCAUCUAUUCUGAAAACCUUGUUGUGAAGGCACAAAUGCUUCUUUUCUCUAGAAACCUUGGAGCAUUUGACCUCGAUGGGUAUGACGGGAGCAUUGAAGGAGGCCGUGUGGGCAAUGCUGUGUGGGCAGAGCUGAGGUUAAUGUACAGACUGCAAAUCGCUAGGCAAGCAGCAGCCCUUGCUAGGCUCUCGCAUUUCUGGAUCAAAUGCCAUGCACACAGGAGCAGCUCAGAAAUGAUCAUCGCUGUUUACUGAAUCAGCAAAUAAGCCGACAAUUCCAGUAACACUUUUCGUUUCCUUGGUUUUGUUUCCGUCCACUCAACGGUGAUGCAAAUGCUGUAUAUGGAUAAAUGCUACUGUGUUGUGUUGAGUGACUUCAUAACUACAGUCAUUAUCUAUUCCAUUUAUGUUAUUCCCCUGUUUAUCGUAA